CCUACGGGAGGCAGCAGUUGGGAAUAUUGCACAAUGGGCGCAAGCCUGAUGCAGCGACGCCGCGUGAGGGAUGACGGCCUUCGGGUUGUAAACCUCUUUCAGUAGGGAAGAAGCGAAAGUGACGGUACCUGCAGAAGAAGCACCGGCUAACUACGUGCCAGCAGCCGCGGUAAUACGUAGGGUGCAAGCGUUGUCCGGAAUUAUUGGGCGUAAAGAGCUCGUAGGCGGUUUGUCGCGUCUGCUGUGAAAACUCGGGGCUCAACCCCGAGCCUGCAGUGGGUACGGGCAGACUAGAGUGUGGUAGGGGAGACUGGAAUUCCUGGUGUAGCGGUGGAAUGCGCAGAUAUCAGGAGGAACACCGAUGGCGAAGGCAGGUCUCUGGGCCACUACUGACGCUGAGGAGCGAAAGCAUGGGGAGCGAACAGGAUUAGA
rnacentral:rRNA from 1 species